CGCGAAACCCUGGCCCCCUCGGUGACCUCGGUCUAGCGGGCAGGCCUGAUCACAUGAGGGUUGGAGGGUGCACACCUACACCCUGGGGGGAAAGGGCAGCUGGCCCUUGGGUGGGGACUGCGUCUACAGGCUUUUCUGUCAGAGCCCAGCAAGGAUGGUGGGGGAGGGAAGGGGGACACUCAGGGGAUUCUCCGUGUGUGGGAGACGGAAGAUUGGGCCAGAUACCCUCUUGGAGGGAACUUUCUUUUUCUUGUGUCCCAGGGUACCAGGCUAUGCUGAGUUCCCAGGAGCCUUCAUCAAGCUGUCCAAGCUCUGCACAGCCCUGGGCGGCAGGGGUGUUGUGAUCUUCAGCCAACAGGACCCAGGCCUACAGGAACUGCCUCUGGGGACUUCCUAUGGAAAGGGAGUGCAGCUUUGAUUCUUCUGCAAAUUUCUGCCAUUUCAGUGAGGCAGUCAGGACUGUGGACUUCUUUGUGGGGCCCAGGGACCAGCCCCUCAGAGAGUCCCUCUCUGCUGGGUAGGCUCAAUCCACCCUGAAAAUCUGGCUGAGGAGUGUCUAGAGCACCUGGUCUGGACACCUGUCCUUUCCUCUGGGGGCCGUGAUGGUUGAUGGCUAUGGCUGGAGCCAGGUCACCAGAGAAGGAGGAGUAGGCUUGGUCCAGACCUCACAAGGACUGUGAUUGGCUUUGGAGGGCACUGUGCUGCUCCCAGUGUGGUGCCAUGCCUUGAAGUCUCAGGAGGUGAGAGGAGGCUGUAUGAUCUUGGGCCAGGAACCUGCAGAGCUGACUUACUACCAAGCAGCCACUUACCUCUUCACUGAGCCAGGGGUCAAUACUACCAUGACCCUCAGUAGCUAGGGGCCACUUCUGGUCUGGGGGUAAGCAGGAGCCCUGAGGCCAGUAAGGCCUGGCUCUGCCCUCCUGCCAGACUGCCCAAGCAUGAGCAUGGCCUUGACUGUCUAUUCUACAGGGACACCUGGUGGGUGCCUGCCUCUGCUGGUGUGGAUCUUGCCCUGCCAGGAAGCUUGACCCUUCUUCACUUUAGCAUUGUCUUCAAAGUAAAAGUUUGAAACUCAAAACUA
rnacentral:lncRNA from 1 species